AAUAUAUGUUCACUCUUUGUUUCUUUUAUCCCAAGUGACGCAAGAAAAAGCCAAGAAGAGAUUUACCAAACAACUGAACCCUAAUGAGGAAAAGCGACCUAGCACGUCAACCCUUUGGUCAGAAAGAACCGCACUCACUUUCAAAUGCAUUUAUUCCUUUCUCGGCUUCUCUUUCUCUUCAAUAACGAGUUCAUUUCCCAAGCAAGCAUCUCUCUAUCUCUCUCUCUCUCUCUCUCUCUCUCUCUGUGUACUUAGAUGGACCAUCGAUCAGUUUAUGCAAAAUUAUGAGUCGAUGAGAGCACGCCCGAUGAUGAUGUCUCUUCAGAAAGUCUCAUUGCUUAAAAGGGAUUCUCAUGCUUGACUUCAACUCAAGUAUUUAAACCCAGCUGCUAGUAAAUUUUCAAAAUGAAGUACUUCAAGCGGGUCCAUCAAAUCCAAAUCUGCAAAACUACCUUGUUGCUCUUAAUUUUCAAGCCUUAACCGGUCGUCCUGCUAGGAAAGCUGAGGUGGGUGAUUCAUAUCUAAAGCAAAGCUGUACGUUUUCCAUAUAUAGUUUUCUCAAAGCAUUUUCAUAUAUUGAAGCUGCUGCAUGGCUUUGUGCUUCCCAGCCAGUUCUAUCUAUAUAUCUGAUUUGCCAUGGUACAAGGUAGUUUCAAUACUAUAAAGAAAACCGCAAUUGUGAAGGAAACAAGCUUCACUUGAUCAGUAGUCGUCUUCUUGCACAGAUCAAUUUGGCAACUUGAUGUUGAUGUUGAGGCGGCAUAGUCCUGUCCAAUAUUAUUUUCUGGCCUCUUGGAUUCGUUGGCUCCCAUAUUCAUAUGUACUUCAUCAC